rnacentral:rRNA from 1 species
AGGACGAACGCUGGCGGCGUGCUUAACACAUGCAAGUUGAACGGUAUGACAUGGAAGCUUGCUGAAGUGUCAUAUAGUAGCGGACGGGUGAGUAAUGCAUGAGAAGCUGCCAUUGGGAGGGGGACAACAGUUGGAAACGGCUGCUAAUACCCCGUAUGCCGGAGGGUGAAAGGGAGUAAUCCGCCCAAUGAGGUGCUCAUGUCCUAUCAGCUGGUUGGUGGGGUAACGGCCUACCAAGGCGACGACGGGUAGCCGGCCUGAGAGGGUGAACGGCCACACUGGAACUGAGAUACGGUCCAGACUCCUACGGGAGGCAGCAGUGGGGAAUAUUUGGGCAAUGGGGGCAACCCUGACCCAGCGACGCCGCGUGGGGGAAGACGGCCUUCGGGUUGUAAACCUCUUUUGUACGGGAAGAAGGAAGUGACGGUACUGUACGAAUAAGUCCCGGCUAACUACGUGCCAGCCGCCGC